rnacentral:rRNA from 1 species
GGUUAAGCGACUAAGCGUACACGGUGGAUGCCCUGGCAGUCAGAGGCGAUGAAGGACGUGCUAAUCUGCGAUAAGCGUCGGUAAGGUGAUAUGAACCGUUAUAACCGGCGAUUUCCGAAUGGGGAAACCCAGUGUGUUUCGACACACUAUCAUUAACUGAAUCCAUAGGUUAAUGAGGCGAACCGGGGGAACUGAAACAUCUAAGUACCCCGAGGAAAAGAAAUCAACCGAGAUUCCCCCAGUAGCGGCGAGCGAACGGGGAGCAGCCCAGAGCCUGAAUCAGUGUGUGUGUUAGUGGAAGCGUCUGGAAAGGCGCGCGAUACAGGGUGACAGCCCCGUACACAAAAAUGCACAUGCUGUGAGCUCGAUGAGUAGGGCGGGACACGUGGUAUCCUGUCUGAAUAUGGGGGGACCAUCCUCCAAGGCUAAAUACUCCUGACUGACCGAUAGUGAACCAGUACCGUGAGGGAAAGGCGAAAAGAACCCCGGCGAGGGGAGUGAAAAAGAACCUGAAACCGUGUACGUACAAGCAGUGGGAGCACGCUUAGGCGUGUGACUGCGUACCUUUUGUAUAAUGGGUCAGCGACUUAUAUUCUGUAGCAAGGUUAACCGAAUAGGGGAGCCGAAGGGAAACCGAGUCUUAACUGGGCGUUAAGUUGCAGGGUAUAGACCCGAAACCCGGUGAUCUAGCCAUGGGCAGGUUGAAGGUUGGGUAACACUAACUGGAGGACCGAACCGACUAAUGUUGAAAAAUUAGCGGAUGACUUGUGGCUGGGGGUGAAAGGCCAAUCAAACCGGGAGAUAGCUGGUUCUCCCCGAAAGCUAUUUAGGUAGCGCCUCGUGAAUUCAUCUCCGGGGGUAGAGCACUGUUUCGGCAAGGGGGUCAUCCCGACUUACCAACCCGAUGCAAACUGCGAAUACCGGAGAAUGUUAUCACGGGAGACACACGGCGGGUGCUAACGUCCGUCGUGAAGAGGGAAACAACCCAGACCGCCAGCUAAGGUCCCAAAGUCAUGGUUAAGUGGGAAACGAUGUGGGAAGGCCCAGACAGCCAGGAUGUUGGCUUAGAAGCAGCCAUCAUUUAAAGAAAGCGUAAUAGCUCACUGGUCGAGUCGGCCUGCGCGGAAGAUGUAACGGGGCUAAACCAUGCACCGAAGCUGCGGCAGCGACGUUGAUGCGUUGUUGGGUAGGGGAGCGUUCUGUAAGCCUGCGAAGGUGUGCUGUGAGGCAUGCUGGAGGUAUCAGAAGUGCGAAUGCUGACAUAAGUAACGAUAAAGCGGGUGAAAAGCCCGCUCGCCGGAAGACCAAGGGUUCCUGUCCAACGUUAAUCGGGGCAGGGUGAGUCGACCCCUAAGGCGAGGCCGAAAGGCGUAGUCGAUGGGAAACAGGUUAAUAUUCCUGUACUUGGUGUUACUGCGAAGGGGGGACGGAGAAGGCUAUGUUGGCCGGGCGACGGUUGUCCCGGUUUAAGCGUGUAGGCUGGUUUUCCAGGCAAAUCCGGAAAAUCAAGGCUGAGGCGUGAUGACGAGGCACUACGGUGCUGAAGCAACAAAUGCCCUGCUUCCAGGAAAAGCCUCUAAGCAUCAGGUAACAUCAAAUCGUACCCCAAACCGACACAGGUGGUCAGGUAGAGAAUACCAAGGCGCUUGAGAGAACUCGGGUGAAGGAACUAGGCAAAAUGGUGCCGUAACUUCGGGAGAAGGCACGCUGAUAUGUAGGUGAAGUCCCUCGCGGAUGGAGCUGAAAUCAGUCGAAGAUACCAGCUGGCUGCAACUGUUUAUUAAAAACACAGCACUGUGCAAACACGAAAGUGGACGUAUACGGUGUGACGCCUGCCCGGUGCCGGAAGGUUAAUUGAUGGGGUCAGCGCAAGCGAAGCUCUUGAUCGAAGCCCCGGUAAACGGCGGCCGUAACUAUAACGGUCCUAAGGUAGCGAAAUUCCUUGUCGGGUAAGUUCCGACCUGCACGAAUGGCGUAAUGAUGGCCAGGCUGUCUCCACCCGAGACUCAGUGAAAUUGAACUCGCUGUGAAGAUGCAGUGUACCCGCGGCAAGACGGAAAGACCCCGUGAACCUUUACUAUAGCUUGACACUGAACAUUGAGCCUUGAUGUGUAGGAUAGGUGGGAGGCUUGGAAGUGUGGACGCCAGUCUGCAUGGAGCCGACCUUGAAAUACCACCCUUUAAUGUUUGAUGUUCUAACGUUGACCCGUAAUCCGGGUUGCGGACAGUGUCUGGUGGGUAGUUUGACUGGGGCGGUCUCCUCCUAAAGAGUAACGGAGGAGCACGAAGGUUGGCUAAUCCUGGUCGGACAUCAGGAGGUUAGUGCAAUGGCAUAAGCCAGCUUGACUGCGAGCGUGACGGCGCGAGCAGGUGCGAAAGCAGGUCAUAGUGAUCCGGUGGUUCUGAAUGGAAGGGCCAUCGCUCAACGGAUAAAAGGUACUCCGGGGAUAACAGGCUGAUACCGCCCAAGAGUUCAUAUCGACGGCGGUGUUUGGCACCUCGAUGUCGGCUCAUCACAUCCUGGGGCUGAAGUAGGUCCCAAGGGUAUGGCUGUUCGCCAUUUAAAGUGGUACGCGAGCUGGGUUUAGAACGUCGUGAGACAGUUCGGUCCCUAUCUGCCGUGGGCGCUGGAGAACUGAGGGGGGCUGCUCCUAGUACGAGAGGACCGGAGUGGACGCAUCACUGGUGUUCGGGUUGUCAUGCCAAUGGCACUGCCCGGUAGCUAAAUGCGGAAGAGAUAAGUGCUGAAAGCAUCUAAGCACGAAACUUGCCCCGAGAUGAGUUCUCCCUGACCCUUUAAGGGUCCUGAAGGAACGUUGAAGACGACGACGUUGAUAGGCCGGGUGUGUAAGCGCAGCGAUGCGUUGAGCUAACCGGUACUAAUGAACCGUGAGGCUUAACCUU